rnacentral:rRNA from 1 species
CGCCCUUAGAGUUUGAUCAUGGCUCAGAUUGAACGCUGGCGGCAGGCUUAACACAUGCAAGUCGAACGGUAUAGGUGCUUGCACCUGACGAGUGGCGGACGGGUGAGUAAUGUAUGGGGAUCUGCCGAAUGGAUUGGGACAACCACUGGAAACGGUGGCUAAUACCGAAUAAUGUUGAGAGACCAAAGUGUUUCGACAUGCCAUUUGAUGAACCCAUAUGGGAUUAGCUAGUAGGCGGGGUAAUGGCCCACCUAGGCGACGAUCUCUAGCUGGUCUGAGAGGAUGACCAGCCACACUGGAACUGAGACACGGUCCAGACUCCUACGGGAGGCAGCAGUGGGGAAUAUUGCACAAUGGGGGAAACCCUGAUGCAGCCAUGCCGCGUGUAUGAAGAAGGCCUUCGGGUUGUAAAGUACUUUCGGUAGUGAGGAAGGUUACUAUUAACAUAGUAAAUUGACGUUAAUUACAGAAGAAGCACCGGCUAACUCCGUGCCAGCAGCCGCGGUAAUACGGAGGGUGCGAGCGUUAAUCGGAAUGACUGGGCGUAAAGGGCAUGUAGUGGAUAAUUAAGUUAGGUGUGAAAGCCCCGAGCUCAACUUGGGAAUUGCACUUAAAACUGGUA